rfam:Candidatus Endomicrobium sp. Rsa215, complete genome.
GGUGCGGUACCCAAGUGGUAAGGGAGCAGUCUGCAAAACUGUUAUUCGCCGGUUCAAUUCCGGCCCGCACCU